GUGUGUCACGAUGCCACGCUCGAAUACAGCGAACGAUUUAAAAGUUUGUUAUUAUUUACCUUAACGAAAAACCAGGAUGCUAUUCCUAUACGAUUAUUUGCGAACGUGCGAUAUUAUCCAUGAAGUUAAUCCUUCGUCGAAGAAUAUCAUGAGGCAAUGAAUCAAAGUAUUUCUCUGUUUCAAGGUAUUUCGACCUUAAUUGACGUCAACGGCAAAUAAGCACAGGUUGGCCAAUAUUCACAAGUGACUGCGAAGCGUGGUGGCGGUUACUCAUGAAAACAGAUAUUUUUGUAUUUCUGUCGAGAAAUACCAAAGUAUCAUAUGAGGAAGAAAGUACAAUCUACUUCAAUCCACUUAAUUACAACUUUAAGUACCGUUUAAAUUCGCUUCAAAUGAUUGUGAUGAUGUACGUGAUCAAAUUUUUAUGACUUUUUGACGAUAUUUUUGCACAUCUUAUACGAAAAAGAUACUGAACAAUAACGAAUCGCGGUUUUCGACAACAAAGUGAAAAAAAUAGUAAAUCUUUCAUAAAAAUCUUCAAGCUCGAUCUGACUGAAAAUAUAGGCAAAUUUUGCGUGCUAGGUAUGUAAAAAAGACUAUCAAUAGCGACCCUAUCGUGCAUCUUUCACCCAAUCGAAAGGUGAGGUUAGUUCUCCCACUUACGAUGGAAAAUAUUACGCUACGAAAGAUCAACGUUGACCACAUACCAAUUUCGUUAUAUUUCGCCGAGGGACAAGAGAAAGACAAGGGACACAAAGCACCGUGAAUCAAAUGAUCACACCAUGGCGCGCAACAGCAGCCUGCAGGCCAUCUUGAAGCCACCAACGAGGCACGCACACAAUAAGCCCCGUCGAAUCAGGCACAUACGGUGUAAGGUCCUCCCA